ensembl:antisense
GUCCCUGGCAACCCAAGGUAGAGAGUAGAAGGAAAGAAGCAGAGUCUACAGUACAUUCUUGGGGAGUCGGGCUAGUCGCCCCUCCUCACGCCCCCCGGAUCCACAACAGGAGAUAUCGUGAAUGUCUGAAGUAAUAAUCCCAUUCAUAUUGUCACAGACAAUCCCCCCUGUUCUGAGGCUCAACUGGACUACGCUGCACAUAAGUGCAUAUACAUGUGAACCAAUGUAGCGCCUCUACUUUCCUUGCUUUGCAAGACCUUCUGCAGCCUGUCAAAAGAUUUCCUGAUGAUGACGGCACAAUGCAAAGUCACGGGUGUUCCCUGAGCAGUCUGCAGCAGUUCUUUCUAGCUCCAAAUUUUCAGAUCUAAGCCUAGAUCUGCAUUGCACAUCCAAAUGGGCUUCUCUCCGCCUCCUGCCCAGCCCUCCCCCGCUCCCUGUACGCCGGACCCGCCCACCCGCAGAGUUCCUGGAUUUGCAAGUCUAGGCUGCACCCGGGACCAACCUUCAUGUUAAGCGCGAAGAACAAGCCACACUGUCCGAACUUUGAGAACGCCGCAGAGUUUGGAGAAUCACAAAUGUAAAAUGAACCCGGAAGCACAGAGAGCAGAGUCCUGUCUAGCGGGGUCAUACAGAAAGAGAGAGACUACAUUUCCCAGAAGUCUACGCGAAGGACUACCCGGAACCAAAGAAGGCAAAGAAUUUAAAGCGCAUGGAUUGUAUGUAACUGGAAUUAGGCUGCUUUUAAAAAUCCCAAAUUUACAAAGGGCAUUUUGGGAAUAUGAGUCCAGCCUUUAGCGGUAAUAUGUAUUAGAUUUACUUCUUACUCUGAUCAAUGCUGUGACUUAAAAAGCUCAGGGGUACCUAGAAUCUUAUGGGGGGCAGAAAAAAAAAUCACAUUGAGUCAAUUUUACUUUAAAAUAACGGAGCAAGAAGCUACUUUAGGGCACACCACAAACUCUUUAGGAUAGUUUUUGAAACCAAGUUUCCUGGAAAUAUUCUGAAAUCUCAGCUACUCUGGGGUUUGAGACAGAAGAAUCACAAGUCUAUGUCCCAAAUUACACAGUACCAAAAGAGAUGGGGGCUACUCACUGGUGAAACACUUGUCUGAAGUGAAGGAGGCCUUGGUUUAACAUCCAUUAUGACACUAAAUCAAAGAGGGGGAAAAAAAUAACCGAACAGAUUUGAUGUGUACACUGAAAUCCACGGUUUGGGGCGUGGACUAGGGAACACAGAUGUCUCUUACCUAUAAGUCCCAGAAACCCUUUGAGAUUUUCAUCUGUCCUUAGUCCCCUUGUCCACACGUUCCUCCGAUAUCCGUGUAAACAAUUUAACAUUUGAGAGAGCUUCACCAGAUUCUCUUUCACAAUCUCAUACAACUAUUCACCACUAAAUGUUCUUCCUGGCUCCUCUCCCAGUUAGAGGAAAACUGGUCUUGGAAUCAGUAUGGUGUGUGAACUGACUCCUGACCCACUAUCCAACACUCAUCAUAAGAUUUCUCUCUUUAUUACUUCGGAUCUGCCCUAUUCAACUUCCAGUCUCUUUCUGGACUCCUUACAUUACUCCCAUUCAUGUGGAAGUACUUAAAGGUUCUUUUGUUUUGUUUUGUUUUUUGCUUGAAGUUCACUCUAUUCCCUCAUCUCAUAACACAGGAAUGAAUCUUCCUUUAAUACAAAGGUAUCAGAAAUAUGUUCCUGAUCAUACAGAAUGAACUCAUUGCAAGAAAGGGGCUGGACUGACACCACGGAGUGAUGGGACUCCCUAUCUCGUGUGUAUGUAUUCCUGUACUGGUAACAUCUGAGACCCAACGAUAAACCCCACGAGAGGAAAGAGUUUGUUUUCGUGCCAUGGUCACUGAUUCACAAUGAGAUUACUUCUUGGAUGAGAGAGUGGGAAGAUCAGAUUGUUCUUUUUUUGUUUCAUCACCAGAAAUAAAUUGUGCUGGGUUUUAUAUCAAUUUGACACAAGCUAAAGUCAUCAGAGGAGGAAGCCUCAGUGAGAAAAAGCCUCUAUAUGGUUGGGCUGUGGGCAAGCCUGUAGGGCAUUUCAUCUUCACAAUAAGUAAUAGAUGUAGGAGGGCCUAGGAUGUUGUGGGUGGUGCCAACCUUGGGCUGGGGUCCUGGGUUCUCUAAGAAUCAGGCUGAGUAAGCAACACCUCUCCAUGGCCUUGCAUCUGCUCCUGCUUCCAGAUUCCUGCCCUGUUUGAGGUUCUGUCUUGGCUUUCUCCAAUGGACAGUAGUCCAGGAUAUGUAAACCAAAUAAACCCUCUUGUCCCCGUG